rnacentral:tRNA from 3 species
CAAGGAAUAGUUUAUUAUAGAAUUCCAGCUUUGGGUGCUGGUGGUGAGGCUAGAGCUUCUUCCUUGA